rnacentral:rRNA from 1 species
AUACGGAGGAUCCGAGCGUUAUCCGGAUUUAUUGGGUUUAAAGGGUGCGCAGGCGGCCAUUUAAGUCAGCGGUUAAAUCGUGGGGCUCAACCCCAUUCUGCCGUUGAUACUGGGUGGCUUGAUUGCGGUCGAGGUUGGCGGAAUUCGUUGUGUAGCGGUGAAAUGCAUAGAUAUGACGAAGAACACCGAUUGCGUAGGCAGCUGACCAGAUCGCAAAUGACGCUCAUGCACGAAAGUGCGGGGAUCGAACAGGAUUAGAUACCCUGGUAGUCCGCACAGUAAACGAUGAAUACUUGUUUUCGGCGAUAUAAUGUCGGAGGCAAAGCGAAAGCGAUAAGUAUUCCACCUGGGGAGUUCGCCGGCAACGGUGAAACUCAAAGGAAUUGACGGGG